rnacentral:lncRNA from 1 species
UUUUUUGUCUUUUCUAGGGCCACACCUGCAGCCCAUGGAGCUUCCCAGAGCUGCAACGCCAGAUCCAAGCUGAAUCUGCGACCUACGCCUCAGCUCACAGCAACGCCGGAUCCUUAAGCCACUGAGCAAGGCCAGGGAUGGAACCUGCAACCUCAUGGCUCCUAGUCUGAUUCGUUAACCACGGAGCCACGACGGGAACUCCGUGGCUUUCUGUCUUACUGCACUCAUUCACUCAGUGCUGAGUAAGCUGGCAGCUGCAGCUCCGAUUCAACCCCUAGCCUGAGAACCUCCUUAUGCCACAAGUGCGGCCCUAAAAAGCAAAAAACAAAACAAAACAACAACAACAAAACAAACGAACAAACAAAACCGGUUGUCAGAAAGCUGAGCCUGCAGUUACUGAAUCAUGCAUGAGUGUCAGGGUGCAAGCGCUGCAUUCUGCACCAUUUGGCUACUGAUUUCAGCAAAGUGCACCGUUUUCAUGCCUGGAGGACAUCUGGGGUUUCCUUGCAGCAUUCCCACUGUGUGCUUCUAACACUGUUUAUUUUUAUUAAGCUAAAGAAAUCUGUGCACCCUAUCAACUGCCAGUUUUCUAUUCAAUUUUAGAAGGAAAUACACAAUAACAGAUGCUGACAUCAGUACAAUUAUUUUGACAAACUGGAUUUGCAGGUGCAACCUUGGGAAGCCACUGUGGAAAGGGCUACUUUCAAUGAGUUACCCGUCCCCUUCACACAGUGAGCACUGGUUCAUUCACCAAAUAGCUGCUGAAGGAGACAGAGGCCACCCUGUGCUCCCUGCCAGGGCUGCAGAGGUGAGCACAGCAGCCACACUGCCUGCCCUCGUGCGCUCAGAGCCCCGGAACAGGGUGAAGCCAGCAAGGGACUCUAAUACAGGGUGGGGACAAGCCAAGAGGCCAGCCAAGGAGGGUCAGCGCCCCACGGGGACCACGCCCACUUUGACCCUGCUGGGUGUGGGAAGCAAGACCCAUCUCCUGUAUCACCACCAGGACAAUGACCCCCGUGGCCAGCCUGCCACCCUCACUGCCCUCUGCUCCAAGGCCUCAACACAGAGAAGCCAGGCCCUGGCCUUCUCUCCGCCUCCCAAGUCCUUGGUCAGGCCUCUCCCCAGCUUCUGGAUCUUCCUAACUGCACCCUGUAGAAUUCCAAGUUCACCAGCAGCAGAACCCCGGCCUCAGCCCUUCCCCUUCCUGCUCUCAGGGAAACCGAGCUCUCCCAUGCAAAGGCGGCAGCUGUUUCUCACUCAGCCUUCUUACUGCUGGCUCUGGAGGCAGGGUGGGAUCCUUCUUGGUCCUCACUGCCAUUUCCAACCCCAGAUAUGGAUCUCGUGUCAGCAGACAGCAUGGCACAGCGCCCCUGCAGCUGUCCACCUGCUUACUGGUCACAUCGCUGCUCAGUCCCAAGCUCCCCGCCACCGUCUUCAACACAGCUCUGUCUCCAGCCUUGGUGGAGAAGACAAUGCUGCCCGUGCCUGGCUGCCAGCCUCCCUCCCGUCUCACCCACAUCCAAGUCCGUGACUGCAGGCAGUCUCCAUGCACCCUUCUUAGCACAGCCUCGUCACCUCCCAAGCCCACCGACUACUGAGCUCUACUAACCUCUGCUGGCCCUUAUCACACCCACCCUGCCUCUUGUCGUGAGCAAGGCCACCGCCUCUGCUGCUUUGUAAACACCUUGACUCCGGCAAACCCACUGUCUGGGCCACACGGGACAAAGAAAGGAAAGGCCAGUGCGGCUGGAGAAAACGGUCCAACCCUAAGACUAUGACCCACAGCCCGAGUGGCUGCAGUGCUGCCCAGCAUUCCUGGCAGGGGCAGAGCCUCCCCAACCCCCCAACCUCUCUUUUAGCAAAACACCUUCAACAACUUCAAUGCAACGAUCCCCCGCUUCUGGGCCCGCCCUCUCAGACCCGCCUCCGUGAGCCGUGCACCUGGAGCCAGCACUUCACCAAAGCCACUCUGUCCGAAUCCCAAAGGCCCUGCUGUUGCUCAGCCUGCACUGCCAACCGCCCGCCCUCAGUGGUCACCUUCUUCCUCUGCCCCUCGUGCCCUGCCCUCGCUCAGUUUCCAGCUCUCGUGUCGAGUGCCAGGCUCCCGGCUGGGACCACAUCCCAGCCCUACACCCCUGCCCUGGACAAAGUCUGGGGGGUCUACCAGGUGCAGGCUCUGCGUGCCAACAAACCCCCUUCAAACAAACUCCUCUGAGCCCAGAGCCCUGGUCUGAACGCUUACAACCCUCACACCUGUCACUUCCACCUGCAGGUCCAGGUGGUGUCUCGAAACAUCAGACCAGAGCUUCCAGUCUUCCCCUCAAAACCUGCUCUCCCCCAAGUGCUCUCAGGUGACGGCAAUGCCAGCCCUCAACUGCUCAGGCCCCUCUGGCAUCAUUCUGCCUCUUCUCACACUCAUCUGACAGAUGGAGGGUCCCAGGCUAGGGGUUGAGUCGGAGUUGCAGCUGCCAGCCUAUGUCACAGCCACAGCAACGCGGGAUCUGAGCAACGUCUGCAACCUACACCAGAGCUCACGGCCACGCUGCAUCCUUAACCCACUGAUUGAGGCCAGAGACCGAACCCGCAUCCUCAUGGAUACUAGCUGGGAUCGCUGCUGCUGAGCCACGGUGGGAACUUCCUCGCUGACUCCAUCUCGGUCUCAUAUCCAGAUCUGACCCCUUAUCACUGCCACCGCCCAGAUCUGAGCCACUAUCAUGUGUUACCUGCUCCCCUCCUACCUGAUGCCCAGCUUCCGCCCUCAGCUCCCUGACAAGCCCACUCCCAACACAGCAGCAAGAACAGUCCUCUGAAAACAUAAACCAGAUCAUGUUCUUCCUCCGCUCAAACUCCUCCAGUCACAACCCAUUUCAUUCAGAACAAAAGCCAAAGCUCUCAGGACGGCCUGACGGUCAUACAUGACCCAGGUUCAGCAUUUCCUUCUGCCCUUCUCACCCGGCAAACGCCACGCGGUCUCUCUCUGGUCGCCUGAACACAAAGACAGAGUCUCACGGGAAUAAGAGUCUCUGUACUCGCUGACCCCUCUGCCUGGAACACCCUCCCUGAGUCAGGCCACUGGCUCCCAGACCUUCACCUCCUGCCGUGCCACGAAGCCCGCCCCACUGCCCUGGCAGCUGCAGCCCACCCCGCGGCCCUUCCGCUGUACUCUUUCUGUCACUGCGUUUGCAGUUCAGCCCCCAAAUGUCUGCUAGAAAACUGGACCCUAACUGUAGAGCUUCGCUUUGUUCACCAACAAACCCAUCUCAAAGGUCAGAGGGAGACCAGGGUCUCAGUCAACGCCGUGUCGAGCAGACGCACAAAGACUCGUUCCCUGUCAACUGCUCAAAACGAGCCUCCGAGCUCCAGAGCGUGUGUCUGGAAUCCUAAGAGGUCACUCACGGAGAAUUCAGGCCCGGAGGGUGGGCGGGACUUCUGGGACUCAAAGGAAGCACACCAGGUGGGACCUGAGGGGACGCUGCCCCAACAGCCCCCGGGGUUUGGGGAAAGUACCAAGCAGGCGUUCCCCAAGUUCUCUAAUGCCCUUAAGCUGACUGUUUUCUCAGUACUGUCCACACCCUGGAGCAGACGAGCCUGGCCCGUGGAGCCAGCGUGUGCCUGGGGUGGGGGGACGGAGUCUAGGAAGCCAGGGCGUCCUUACAGGCCUGAAGGCGGUACAGGAACCAGCAAAGCGGACACGUACCUUGGACGGGCGUCACCACUGCCCCUUUGAAGUGGGGGUUUAUGUGUAUGUUCUUGGGCUGCUGUGGGGUCACGGGCGGCGGUGUCAUCAUCACCCUGGGGGCCUCCAUCUGGGGGGGCAUGUGCACACCCUGAGGGGGCGAGGGGUGGUGAGGGUGCUGCAGGGGGAGCAGAGGCUGGAGCUGCUGCUGCUGGAACAGACUUCUGAUCGGCUGCUGCUGAGGCGGUGGCGGCGGCGGAGGGGGAGGCUGGGGCUGAGGAGGAGGAAUCAGCCUCGGAGAGUGCGUCUAAAACCAAAGACAGGGGGAGAAAGGCACAGACAUCAACCCCGGGAGCCAAGAAGCAACGAAUGCCAGUGCCCUACGGACGUAGGCUUACACUGCAAAAGUUAAGGCAGAACUAAGUUUCUGUAACAACCUGUACCAGACCGCGCGGCUGUCUGACAGCCGGAGUCAACCUCGGGGAAGGAGGCAAAAACAGCAGCCCCAAGACAACACGCCUGGUUCCACAAGGAAAAACCACAGUUCAAUCUGCAUCAGGCCUGCCCGCAGGGAGCCACGCGCUGUGCUGGGGACAGAACACGGGCCACCCUCAGCCACCCUACAUGGCCGGUCUGGCUGCUCCCCCAGAGUCCUGCCAGAAACGGGGCCUGAGAGCAGGGCAGAGGCCCAGGACCCGCGGGGAAGGCGGGGCUGACCCGGGAGGAGGGAGCGCAGCAAGGCCACACCAGGCCCGCCAGGCACUCCCUGCGAGAGGGUGUGGCCGCAGCCCGGGCAGCGACAGAGGACGGCCAGGCUGGGAAAGCACCCGCUCGAAGUGGACAAGGGGCUCCGGCUGGAACACAGUCGCCAGGAGGAGGAAAUCACCCACGACAGCCACGCUGCCGCGCACGGAGCCCGCCAGUGUGUCAAGGGCAGGACACGAAGUAGGUGACUCUCUGCCCACAACCCUACGAGGUGGGCCCUUAGUAUCACCCUCCUUUCCCAAGCCCACGUGGCUGGGAACCAGAAGAGCAGGGCAUCCGAGCCGGAGGUCCCGCCUGUAACCACUAAUCCACUGGCCACACACGGCGGAGGAGGCAGCAGGCUCCUCCCGACAGAGCUGUCUCCACGGACGAGCUGCUCCAAACGGUGGAGGCUUCCGGCGCAGGUCGUCCGACGAGAAAGCUGAUGAGGACUAGUCGCGUGUGAGACGGGCCAGGGGAGAGACGCCGAAGCAGACAGGCCCUCUGACACGUCAUGGUCUGAGGAAGAGCCUGGAAGGAGGCGCUUCACCGGAACGAAGUGUGUCCGUGACCUUGUCCCACCCGCCUUCCUCAGGGAGGACCUCGCCAAAGGCUCCCAGAACCGAGUAUGCUCCCCCUAACAUCGGGGCGAGGCAGGAGUCUAGUCGCUCUUAUUCACCGCUGGACCCACACGGACAGCACAGGGACAGCGGGACAGCUGAGGACACCUGAACUGAACUGAGAACGAGAUCAGAGAGGGCUGUUCCAUCCAGAGCGUGAAGGCAUUUGAGGGAACCUCGUGUUGAAAGCUGGCCUGCGGGACCUCCACGUGGAGAGGUCCGGGGCAGCAGGGGACAAACUGAGCUGGAAAGCAGAUGCGCAUGCAGACGGCAGGUGGCAGCAGGGACAACGCUGCCGAGCCAGCUCCGACUAAAAAGAGGACCAAGAACCACAAGCCUGAGAGGCAGGACAGAGAGCAGGGGCGCUGCAGGAAGAGAAGAGCGUGCACCGCACAUCUCUCACCUAAACUAGGAGGGGCUCACGGUGAGGCCCAAGGCCCCAGAGCGCAGGCCAGCAGGCCAGACCGCCAAGAGCACAUCCGGAGAGAGCAAGGGAGCAGCCACGGGGGAGAUGGACACAAGCAAAGACAGAGCGCAGGUGACUCUUUCCUCAACUCUGGGGCGAGGGUCCAAGCACAGCUCUGGGGUGGGGAGUGGCCAGGUUCAAGGGCACGCACAUCCUAUGCUUUGCGAGGGGACGCAGGGGCGGGGGUGGGGGGUUAAGGUCAUUUCAGACAGCUUUGGCCAUUUCAGUGAACUGCAACCUCACAGAUGGAUACAAGUCAGGUUCAUUACUGCUGAUCCACACCGGGACCUCCUCAACUGCAACCUUAAACCAGCCCCGGCUAGCACGAAGAGCGGAGGGCUUCCAGCCCACAGUGCCACGGGGCACAGCCGGCCGGCCAGGGGUCUAGUCCCCGUUCACUGUGAGCUCUGGCAUCACUGUGGGACGGACCUGGACAACUCACACCCGGCAGCAUCUUCACAGCUCACAGCUCCUCCCAGGUGAGCCUCUCUGAAGGAGGCAGGCCAGGCACAUACCUCCCUCUUUGUAGGUAAGAAAACAGGCAGUUCGGAGUUCCCGUCAUAGCUCAGUGGUUCACAAACCCAACUAGGAACCAUGAGGUUGCAGGUUCGAUCCCUGGCCUUGCUCUGUGGGUGAAGGAUCCGGUGGGUUAAGCUGUGGUGCAGGUUGCAGACACGGCUGGGAUCUGGCAUUGCUGUGGCUCUGGCGUAGGCUGGCAGCUACAGCUCCAAUGAGACCCCUGGCCUGGGAACCUCCAUAUGACAUGGGUGCGGCCCUAAAAAGACAAAAGACAAAAAAAAAAAAAA